rnacentral:lncRNA from 10 species
AGGCCACGUGGAAGGGUUUUGUGCAGGGAGCCACUGGCCCAGCUACUGGGCCAACCCGGGAAGAGCAGGCAGGCCGUGGGGAGUCAGUGGAGGAGAGGAACUGGACUGUGCACCCUUCAGAAUCCCCCUUUAAAGUGGAGAGCUGGGGACUGACGGUGUGCCUACAAUACGGUGUACCUGCGCUCAGUAAAGAUACCCGCUGUCAGUCCAUCCUCCCACAGUGCCGGCACCUACAAGUGGGGACUGCAGAGCGGGUUUGCCUGGGAAGAGGAAGCAUGAUGUGCAGAGUGGGCGGUGCAGCAGACGUGGGAAAAGCAAGAGAAGAAAAGGGAAAACAGCGCAGAAGGAAAGCCAUGGUCAUGCCGAUGAGUGCGCUGCCCCCUCUACCCGGCUUCAGGAGUCUGAUGACUUUUCUUUCACCCUCUAAGCCAAGAUAAUAGGAAAGCUAAAACGAAGGGCUUCAGGCUCAGGAAGAUCAGAGGCAGCAGUGCUGGAGCUGGCUCUGUAAAUUUUACUGACUGUUAGAUUUUCCGAAAAUUUGUGAGCUGGUUGAUGGGUUUGUAGCUGGAAGUCAGUCAUAGGUAGAGGGAAAAUUUACAACACAGAAAUCAGCUAAUGCCAAACCUCAGGACUCCUCCCCACCUUGACAGCAGGUGGGGGACGCUCGCCGCCGCUUCUGUGGGCCCCGCAGGACACUCGGCACUUCUGAGCAAGGUUUCUCGUCUGCAAAGAGGAAAAUGAUGUGCGAUGAUGGAAUUUGAAUGGGCAGCCGUUGGUGGAUGUUUGAGAACGCUUCCCUCGAGAAGCCUCACCGCGGAGCAUCCUUCAAUCAACCUCAGCCCGUGCUCACUUACCACCCUGACACCCCCAUUUCCGAGUCCACAUGGCACCUCCUGGAUGCCACGAAUGUUCCCGGGCAGUGCUGUGCCAGCACCUAUGAGAGCCUGGCCCGUGUUUGCUGGUGAUGUCCUGAAAGAGGCCCAGGUCCUCCAGGAACACGCAGGGCUGCAUAAAGCACACCUCCUCACAUUGUCUUAGAGACGAUGGGCUUUCUAAGUGUAAAGCACUCUGCAAACACACACGUCACCUCCUCACCUUCUCCGGCUGAGCACCUGCACCCCCUGGUCUCACCAAGUCCCGCCCCUCACUUCUACCCAAGCUCCACUCCAGGGAGAGGCACCUUCGGCCCACAGAGAGUGUUUCGUAAAUUAUUCAUCCAACAAACGUUUGGCUGUCUCUUCCAUGCCAGGC